UACGUAGGGAGCAAGCGUUAUCCGGAUUUAUUGGGCGUAAAGAGCACGUAGGCGGUGUUGUAAGUCAUUAGUCAAAGACUAGAGCUCAACUUUAGUAAGGCUAGUGAUACUAUAAUACUAGAGUAUCAGAGGGGAUUGCAGAAUUCCUGGUGUAGCGGUGAAAUGCGUAGAUAUCAGGAGGAAUACCGUUAGCGAAGGCGGCAAUCUGGCUGGAAACUGACGCUGAGGUGCGAAAGCGUGGGUAGCAAACAGG
rnacentral:rRNA from 1 species